UAAAAGCAAAAUAAAUUCCUAUAUACAGUAGUACAGAUAACUAGAGUAUGAAAUUUAAUUUACAGUAACAAGUGGGACCCCCGAAUAUUCAAAAGUAAAGAGGACUGUGAACGUACAGUUUGAAAAAUGCAAUUCCAUGGUAGUCCUCGAUGCGAUCAGCUAUCUACAGUCUAUUCUGAGCCUGAAAUGGGUGGAAAGGAGGGUGGUGAGAUUAUAUAAUCCCAGUGAGUAAACAAGUACCAUCUAAAAUAUCUAAAGUCGAGUAAAUGGAAACAGAUAAAAUAAAUCAUCAUACUUUAAUUUAUCAUUUUUCAACUCAUUUCAACCAAAUAAAAUUCAAUUCAUUUAAAUUGAGUAAUCAACAUGGCUUAUGAAUUUCUUAAAAGCUUGGCUCAUGCCAAAAAUUAUUAUCAUACUCAGUUAUCAGGGAUACCUUGACCGAGGGCUAUCCCAACUGAGUCCGCCAAGGCUAUUAGAAAGUUAUGUAUGCAUAAAUCAUGUUUUUUCUUUUAAACAUAGCCGUUCCUUGGCAUUGGCCGAGUUCCCUUUCACGUGGUGGUUUGGCGUGAAGUGAACUCUAAAAGUUAUACAUCGGGAGUUACCCUACUCACCUCUCCAACCGAGGUAAAAUAUAACGGAAUUUCGUGCCCCUGUAAUAGGCUGGUCCACAGAAAACCUGCCCCCUGCAGCAUGUUAAUCCCACCAUACAAUAAAAUUUUGACAGCAUGACAGGGUUAAUUUAAUACUACCCAGCUUGCAAAUGUAAAAUAGAAUAAUUCAUACAGUUCACAAAAACCACAACCCAGCCAGUCAUGCCAACACAUUAACGUAAGCCAUUUAUUCAAAUCAUAAAUUUACAACAUAUCAGUGGUCUCCAAUUACUCUAUUUUUCAAAACCAUAAUUCAAUUUCAAAACAUUUAUAAAAUCAUUUUAUUUAAACACAUUUUACUUAUAAAACAUAAGAAUUUACCAUUUAACUCAUUUUUCAUAAAAUCACAAAAAUGAAUAAAAACUACUUUAGAUAAUUAAGACGAUAGUAAGGUUACUCACUAUUUCGGGAGUCGAAUUUCUAUAGUACUCCAACUAUCGAUCCUCGAGUACAAUUUCCUUGCCCUUGUCCGAGGACUCA
rnacentral:lncRNA from 1 species